GGUUAAGCGACUAAGCGUACACGGUGGAUGCCCUGGCAGUCAGAGGCGAUGAAGGGCGUGCUAAUCUGCGAUAAGCGCCGGUAAGGUGAUAUGAACCGUUAUAACCGGCGAUACCCGAAUGGGGAAACCCAGUGUGAUUCGUCACACUAUCAUUAACUGAAUCCAUAGGUUAAUGAGGCGAACCGGGGGAACUGAAACAUCUAAGUACCCCGAGGAAAAGAAAUCAACCGAGAUUCCCCCAGUAGCGGCGAGCGAACGGGGAGGAGCCCAGAGCCUGAAUCAGCAUGUGUGUUAGUGGAAGCGUCUGGAAAGGCGCGCGAUACAGGGUGACAGCCCCGUACACAAAAGCGCAUGUGCUGUGAGCUCGAUGAGUAGGGCGGGACACGUGGUAUCCUGUCUGAAUAUGGGGGGACCAUCCUCCAAGGCUAAAUACUCCUGACUGACCGAUAGUGAACCAGUACCGUGAGGGAAAGGCGAAAAGAACCCCGGCGAGGGGAGUGAAAAAGAACCUGAAACCGUGUACGUACAAGCAGUGGGAGCACAGGUUUACCUGUGUGACUGCGUACCUUUUGUAUAAUGGGUCAGCGACUUAUAUUCUGUAGCAAGGUUAACCGUAUAGGGGAGCCGUAGGGAAACCGAGUCUUAACCGGGCGUUAAGUUGCAGGGUAUAGACCCGAAACCCGGUGAUCUAGCCAUGGGCAGGUUGAAGGUUGGGUAACACUAACUGGAGGACCGAACCGACUAAUGUUGAAAAAUUAGCGGAUGACCUGUGGCUGGGGGUGAAAGGCCAAUCAAACCGGGAGAUAGCUGGUUCUCCCCGAAAGCUAUUUAGGUAGCGCCUCGUGAAUUCAUCUCCGGGGGUAGAGCACUGUUUCGGCUAGGGGGCCAUCCCGGCUUACCAACCCGAUGCAAACUGCGAAUACCGGAGAAUGUUAUCACGGGAGACACACGGCGGGUGCUAACGUCCGUCGUGAAGAGGGAAACAACCCAGACCGCCAGCUAAGGUCCCAAAGUCAUGGUUAAGUGGGAAACGAUGUGGGAAGGCCCAGACAGCCAGGAUGUUGGCUUAGAAGCAGCCAUCAUUUAAAGAAAGCGUAAUAGCUCACUGGUCGAGUCGGCCUGCGCGGAAGAUGUAACGGGGCUAAACCAUGCACCGAAGCUGCGGCAGCGACGCUUAUGCGUUGUUGGGUAGGGGAGCGUUCUGUAAGCCUGUGAAGGUGUGUCGUGAGGCAUGCUGGAGGUAUCAGAAGUGCGAAUGCUGACAUAAGUAACGAUAAAGCGGGUGAAAAGCCCGCUCGCCGGAAGACCAAGGGUUCCUGUCCAACGUUAAUCGGGGCAGGGUGAGUCGACCCCUAAGGCGAGGCCGAAAGGCGUAGUCGAUGGGAAACGGGUUAAUAUUCCCGUACUUGGUGUUACUGCGAAGGGGGGACGGAGAAGGCUAUGUUGGCCGGGCGACGGUUGUCCCGGUUUAAGCGUGUAGGUGUGUGUUCCAGGUAAAUCCGGUUCACUUUAACACUGAGGCGUGAUGACGAGGCACUACGGUGCUGAAGCAACAAAUGCCCUGCUUCCAGGAAAAGCCUCUAAGCAUCAGGUAACAUCAAAUCGUACCCCAAACCGACACAGGUGGUCAGGUAGAGAAUACCAAGGCGCUUGAGAGAACUCGGGUGAAGGAACUAGGCAAAAUGGUGCCGUAACUUCGGGAGAAGGCACGCUGACACGUAGGUGAAGUGAUUUACUCACGGAGCUGAAGUCAGUCGAAGAUACCAGCUGGCUGCAACUGUUUAUUAAAAACACAGCACUGUGCAAACACGAAAGUGGACGUAUACGGUGUGACGCCUGCCCGGUGCCGGAAGGUUAAUUGAUGGGGUCAGCGCAAGCGAAGCUCCUGAUCGAAGCCCCGGUAAACGGCGGCCGUAACUAUAACGGUCCUAAGGUAGCGAAAUUCCUUGUCGGGUAAGUUCCGACCUGCACGAAUGGCGUAAUGAUGGCCAGGCUGUCUCCACCCGAGACUCAGUGAAAUUGAACUCGCUGUGAAGAUGCAGUGUACCCGCGGCAAGACGGAAAGACCCCGUGAACCUUUACUAUAGCUUGACACUGAACAUUGAGCCUUGAUGUGUAGGAUAGGUGGGAGGCUUUGAAGUGUGGACGCCAGUCUGCAUGGAGCCGACCUUGAAAUACCACCCUUUAAUGUUUGAUGUUCUAACGUGGACCCGUAAUCCGGGUUGCGGACAGUGUCUGGUGGGUAGUUUGACUGGGGCGGUCUCCUCCUAAAGAGUAACGGAGGAGCACGAAGGUUGGCUAAUCCUGGUCGGACAUCAGGAGGUUAGUGCAAUGGCAUAAGCCAGCUUGACUGCGAGCGUGACGGCGCGAGCAGGUGCGAAAGCAGGUCAUAGUGAUCCGGUGGUUCUGAAUGGAAGGGCCAUCGCUCAACGGAUAAAAGGUACUCCGGGGAUAACAGGCUGAUACCGCCCAAGAGUUCAUAUCGACGGCGGUGUUUGGCACCUCGAUGUCGGCUCAUCACAUCCUGGGGCUGAAGUAGGUCCCAAGGGUAUGGCUGUUCGCCAUUUAAAGUGGUACGCGAGCUGGGUUUAGAACGUCGUGAGACAGUUCGGUCCCUAUCUGCCGUGGGCGCUGGAGAACUGAGGGGGGCUGCUCCUAGUACGAGAGGACCGGAGUGGACGCAUCACUGGUGUUCGGGUUGUCAUGCCAAUGGCACUGCCCGGUAGCUAAAUGCGGAAGAGAUAAGUGCUGAAAGCAUCUAAGCACGAAACUUGCCCCGAGAUGAGUUCUCCCUGAGACUUAGAGUCUCCUGAAGGAACGUUGAAGACGACGACGUUGAUAGGCCGGGUGUGUAAGCGCAGCGAUGCGUUGAGCUAACCGGUACUAAUGAACCGUGAGGCUUAACCUUAC
rnacentral:rRNA from 1 species